rnacentral:rRNA from 1 species
UACAGAGGUCUCAAGCGUUGUUCGGAAUUACUGGGCGUAAAGGGCUCGUAGGCGGCCAACUAAGUCAGACGUGAAAUCCCUCGGCUUAACCGGGGAACUGCGUCUGAUACUGGAUGGCUAGAGUUUGGGAGAGGGAUGCGGAAUUCCAGGUGUAGCGGUGAAAUGCGUAGAUAUCUGGAGGAACACCGGUGGCGAAGGCGGCAUCCUGGACCAACACUGACGCUGAGGAGCGAAAGCCAGGGGAGCAAACGGG